CGUGUAGGCGGCCCUGCAAGUUGGGUGUGAAAGCCCUCGGCUUAACCGAGGAAGUGCGCCCAAAACUACAAGGCUUGAGUACCGGAGAGGAUGGCGGAAUACCCGGUGUAGAGGUGAAAUUCGUAGAUAUCGGGUGGAACACCAGUGGCGAAGGCGGCCAUCUGGACGGAUACUGACGCUGAGACGCGAAAGCGUGGGGAGCAAACA
rnacentral:rRNA from 1 species